UUGUGCAUUAUUGGCAGGGCUUAUUAAACCAAGGCCACUUGUGGUUAUUGAAGAAUCUAGGUCUGCCUCUGCAAUGGUGGGAAAGAGUUAUCAGAUCCUGUCCUCUGAUGUUUGUGGAUUUGGUUUCACUGCUUCUACUAAGCUAAGUGCCUUUUGCUUCCUUGUUUGGUGAGGGUCUUUUUUUCUAGUCUAGUUAGGGGGACAGAGAAGUGGGAGAAGAGAAUGGAGCAAGUCCAAAUCAAAGACAAGUAGCAGAGGUAGAAAUGAAUAAGAAUAAUGUGUUCUCUCUGGGAAUUUGUACAAGGACAAGGCUAAUGAGACUUUGUUUUCAAUUACUUAAAAUGUAGUCUGUCAUUGAGAAGAUGAUGUAAUGACUUUAAAACAGAAAACAAGCCAGAAUCUUACACCACAUUCAACUACUUGUAUUUUUGCACAUUCUUGCCUAUUUCUGUUGUCAUCAUCAUGCAUGCAUAAUGCACAUUUCAUUUUAUGGCCUGAUUUUUUUUCAGUUAACAUUAGAUAAUACGCGUUUUCCUUUUAAAGGCUGAAUUUUGAUGAAUAGACAAUCCAAAUUCGGAUACUAUAUGAUAAUUAAUAAAAUUAUCCUCCUACUUUGUGAUAUUCACAUUUUCUUCAACUAUUGUGUUGUUUGUUUAUUCAUUUUUUUGUUAUCCUACUAAACACCGUCAUGGACAUCUUGGGACAUUUUGCAUAUUUCAUUUAUUGUUGUUGAAUUCUUACCUUUGCAGAUAUUCUAAAAUUCCUAUGAGUGACAUGGUUGGGGAAAUACACCCAGGCAUCUUUAUGACUCUUGGCUACUAUAUAAAAUAAAAGUUUUAAUUUAAAAUACCACUUCGGCAAUUUAAUCACAAAAACCCUUCCAAGUAUUGACUAUUGAAGUUUUUUUCCCUACUUUAAUAUAGAAGAAACAGUGCUUCAAAUUUGUUUUCAUUUGUACUUCUCUACUUAAUGGCAAAGUUUAAUGCUUUCCAUGUGUUUUGUUUUUUGUCUGGAUCAUGUUGUGAAAAAUAAGCUGCCAUAAACUUUCAGAAUUUUUUGAAAGCCCCCCCAAAUUGCCCCUCCCAUAAUAUUUCCUAAGAAACUCAGAUUUCCAAAUUAAUGAAAUAUAAGUGCUUAAGACCAAAGCAGAGAGAAGUGUCAAGUUAAUUUGUCUUCUGUUUAGCUGGUUGAAUGCCUUUCAUGUGUAAUUCAAGUCCUGUCAAGAAUGUUUUAAGGGAUAUUGAAAAUAAAACAUAGACAUCACCUCCCAAAAGUUUACAUUCCAAAAGAGCUAUCAUCGUGUGACUGAUUGAAAAAUUGCUAAACAUUGUAAGAUAAGGAUAGAACAAGAGCUGUGGGGAUUCUGAGAGUGGAGAGAUUAAUUCUAACUUGUGCUUUGGAAUGCGAGGCAUCAGAGAAAGUUUCUGGGACGAAAUUGCAUCCGAGCUGCAUGAGGAGGAUCUGAGGCAGGAGCCUAUUUCAGGGAAGUGAGGGAAGUGUGUCGGCAAGAACACUUGGCCCAUUUUAUGUGAACUCCUGAGAUUUUAAAGAAGUCUUCCAACACGGAGCUACUCUUCUAUACAUGGCAAAUGAAGUCAGGCAAGGAUGACCUACAGAUUAAAAUUAUAUUGUGUACUUUCAAGGCCUAAAAUUUACUGUGCAUCUCAGUGUUUGUCAACCCCUUCCAUGACAGGGCACCCAAAGAAGCUGGUGGUAUUUCUUUGUUAUAGUGGGGUCAACAGACAAGGCUGCUUCCCACUGGAGGAGUCUGGCCCAGAACUCCAGCUGCUCCCAGUCAGAAGGCUGGAAGGAUCAAUUUCUUGUAAACGGUUGGGCAAACACCAUGUGAGCAGUUCUACAGUUAGAUAAAGAUGACUUAUAAAAAUAGUCACCAGAUUUAUUCUGGAUGAUAAAUAAUCAAUGAAUUGGACAUUGGGAUUGGUAAAGAAAAAAUAACCAUACAAAUUAUUAUGGUUUUGAUUGGCCCUACCUUGACAAGGCUGUGUACCACGGGAUAGAGACAUUUCCAGUAUUAUUCAGAAAAUGCCAUACUAGAACCCUGGAAUUGUAGACAUAGCAGUCCAAGCUUGGAAAACAUCCAGGGACAGGAAAAUUACCUGUGGAAUAUGUUACAGGACUGGCUGAGGAGAAUUAUAUUUCACAUUUAUCUAGUAGUCUCAUUUCAUUGAGUUCAAAAAAUGGGAUCAAAUAAUGUUCACAUGCCAAACAGGUAAAAAGAUAUCAAAUAGAUUUUUGAGGAUCUCCAUUUAACAAAAGGAGCCAGUCAUUUUAACUAUUUGUUUAAACCCUGUCUUGUUCUAGAAGUUGUUUCAACUAGACAGGCUACAUUAGUCACUCAAGGAUUCAAUAGUUUAAAGGUUGGGAGGUUAGAAAACAAUUUAAUGAAGGUCUUUGCAUAAGAGAAAAAAAACAGAUUUGCAUGGAUAUGAAAAAAAAUUGCAGUGCUCUUGUGGAAAAAUUCCUGAAAAUCUUCAGUGCACCACUAUGCUUAUGAUUAUAUUAAAAAUUCUAGCAGAUGUGCUUUUCUUCUAAAUUAAGAAAAUAAAGCAAUAUCAUGAGCUAAUGCCACAUCAAAGUGGCAUGUUUCAACACUUCGGCCUCAUGUGUAGCCAGAGUCGAGUGCUCCCGGAGGCCUGGCUCACCCCACUCUUCCUGGAGGCAGAUGUUGGAAUGGUCACUACAGGCCUGGGAAGUCAGCAUUUUUUGGGUCUCCUUCCAGAUUGUGGUGAGGCCCUGGACAUGCUUUAUCCCACCUCAGUUUCUCUGGUGAGGCCCUGGGCCAUGUAAGGGGAUUGUGGUUAAAUGGAAAUAUUUGAAGAGUUGCCACAUGGAAUAGGGAUUUAGGUCUAUUCCGCAUCAUCCCAGAAUUGAAUUAGGACCAAGAAGGUGGUGAUUGUUACAGAGAGAUGGAUUUAGACUCUACAUAAAGAGGAGGAAGAGAGAAAAUUACGUCCCCUUAACACGACUUCUUACUAGGGCAAAAAGCUCAUCUGUGCUAUUUCAUUUCAUUUCUUUAGCAACCGAUGAGGUGAGGACUAUUGAUUUUUACAGACUAGGACACUGAGAGAGGGUCGGUAACAUUACUAGGUCAUAUCCCUACAGAGGGCGUCAGGACUAAGACCAGGGUCAACUUAAACCUGAUCAGUUGUAGGAAAUUAGCUCAUUAGCUCAUAGCUCACUCCCUUAAAGAAAAUGGAGUAGAAAAAAUCCCCCAAACAACCCGAAAGUUAGACUUUACUUAAUAAGCAACAAGCUACUAUGGGAUUUGUGAAUGGUCAAGAUGAGCAUAAAAUGUCAAGGCAAAGAUUUAGGGUGGGUGGGGAAGGUGGGAACACUGGCCAAGGCAGUACGUCUGCACUUAUGAUCCAUAUGGAAGGAUAAUCCUCCAGGGGAAAACCCAACCAUUUUGUAGGAGACAGAUCCCAAGGAACCAGCUGGUGGGCUGACCACCGGCAACACUGAGGCUUAUUUUAAAUAAGGAACCUGUCAGCUUUUCUUUGAAGAAUUUUCUAAUAAAUAAAAAUUCCCCAGAUGCAACUGGCUGCCUUGGGAAGACAGUGAGACCCUUGCUUCUGGGGAUGUUCAGACAGAGCCUGGAUGUCCGGAUGUCAAGACAGAAGAAGGUCAAGAGGAGCAUCUUAAGGGAAGGACAGACCAUGGGCUGCUGCCUCCGUUUCUUCAGGUUACAGAAGUGCGCACUCAUCCCUCUUUUGCAAAGGAUUCUGAGCCUGUUGCUAGGGUAGCUGCAGCUUCUUUGCAACAGCAUGGACGGUCUCCAGCACUGGGGGCCGUAGGCGAUAUUUACCUGGGAGUCAGGAUGCCUGUGUCCAAGUACCAGCUUCGUGCUGGGAGAAGCAGUGUUUGCCAUCAGGUAAAAUGGAUGUUCCAGGAAGAUGUGACACCCUUCACUGGCCUCCAGUACCUCGCCACAUAGUCGUGCACCCUCAACCCGAGCAAGAUAAACCCUGCAGAGACUCAUCCUUUUACUCUAGGGUUGGGAAACCUAGAUCCACACGUGAAAAGGAGUAAAACCCAGAUUUCCUGAUUCCCAUCCCAGACUCAUACGAUGGAAAUGCACGGCUUUGUCCUCAAGGUUCAAGGUCGUCCUUUUGGCUUCUCGAGGUCCUGUGCUCCUUUGCUUCCUCCAUACACAACAUUUAGUGGCUAGAGUUCUACGUCGCCAGGCUGAACUUGCUGAGGCCGUGUUUCACGGUUCAGACAAAUGCUUGAUGCUUGUUUUCAGUAUCCUUGAUACAAACUGCUUGGAUAAGUCUACUUGUCAACUUCUCCGUUUCAGUUAUCUCUUCCAUUUUUUGUCUCAAGAAUAUUUAAGGAAGAAGCAUUCUGGGACUGGUGGGAAAAAUUCCAAAUCUGGCCUUAUUUCUAAGGAGAGGAAACACGUCUGGAGUAAAGAAAACUCAACCAGAGGUAGCCCCUCAAAUGAGAAUAACUUCAGAUCUUCUGUCCCACGUCCUUGAAACGAAAGGCAACUAUGUCUGGAUGUUACAUAAGCUUGGGGUCGUUCCGCUACCGGCUUUGCAGAUGGAUACUGCUUUGGAUAACAGGGAGGUUUGAAUCGUUACAGCACUUAGAUACAAUGGUUAUCCCCACUUCACAGAUGAGGAAACUGGCAUAAAGAAAGGUAGGAAAGCCUGGAACCUCUGUGAGGAGUUCAGUCACCGCAACUGUGAGUCAAAGCUGAAGACUGGUUUAGGAUUGGCUUUUCCUAAAGCAGGACCUAUGGAGGAGUGGAAAUUAGCUGAUGGAUGACCUGGGCAGUCUUCUUCCUGGGCAGGGAACAUGUCCUGCAUAGCUCCUGCUGGUUUGAGGCAGUCCAGGGUUUACCUUAGCAGGGAAAGGAGAACAUUUUUGGAAGAGGAAGAACCAAGUUGUUUAAUGACUCUCUUUAGACCUCACCUCCCUGUAUUCCUUACGCAACACUUUUUUUUUUUCCUUGAGAAAAUGUGGUGGUGUUUAUCACCCUGAACACAGCUUGGAUCAUACUUCCCACUACUCAAGAGCCUCCAAUAAUGGUUUCCCAUGGCCACAAUCAGCAAGUCUCCAAACUUUCUUAAGCCCACUGGUAAACAAGAUUUUGCUGUGCACCCAAAUGGAUUUAUAAUAUGUGUGUGUGCAUGUGUGCAAAGCCAUGCCAACAUAUUAUGCACACUAUAAAAAUAAAGCCAAACAGAAAUUAUAAAAGAAGAGAUAAAUAUAAAAUAAAGAAUACAAUGUAUGCUAAUCUUCAUAAUGUCAUUCUAUCUUUCCUACCAUCACAAGAAACAAUCAACACUCCAGGCAGAGUUCAUCAUUAAUAGCAAUGAAUGUGAACCCAUAUUUCAAGUAUUUUUCCUGAGAAUUUUGAUUUUUUUGUUGUUGUUGUUUGUUUUGGCCUACUUCUUGCUCUAUCUGAUUAGAUCAUCAUUGGCUGUAACCCCUGAAAUGUGGCCAGUGGAAAGCCAGGAAUAGGAGAAAAGUCAGCUCUGCCAUUUUCUUGUUGUUUGCUUGGGUCUUUACAGGAAUUUUUAAAAACCAGUUGUCCAUUUUGUCAGGGUUUGUUUAGUUAAAUCUAGGUAAGGAAUCCAUAAAUUUAAGAGACCAGCUACAUGAAAACGUCAGUAUGAAUACCUCUUGGGCUAUCUAGGACAAAGAAUCUCCACCCACCCCUCAGAAUGAGCUUAGUUGGAGAUGUGACGUGAAGUCAUUUGAUGUGGAGAUCCAACAAGGGUCCCACAAUCAAUCUAUAUAGGAAAUAAUAGGACUUCUAAACUUCUUUUAUGUAAAUAAAAGUAAAUAUAAAUGAUGACUGCACAUUUUCCUGGAAGCAUGCACACUUUCUUGGAAACCCCUUAUCUACCAAAAUCAGAUUCUUUAGCCUUCCAUGAUUGGCCAUCUACUCCAGCCAUCACCGAUCCCCCCACCCAUUGCUAUGAUUGCCCCCUCACUGCAUGGUACAUAUGGCUGGACAUGUUUCUCUGAAAACUUUUUUCCCCCGGGACUUUGCUGUGACUGUUCCUUCUGUUUGGAACACCUUGAUUUCCAUUACUGUCUUUCAAAAUUUUAUGCCUCCAUUGAGGCUCACCUUGGCCUCCACCCACUGUGUGAAAUAAUAACAUUUUUUUGACCUCUUAUUACAUGCUGGACAAUGUAUUAUCUCAUUUAACAUUCACAACAUUUCCAGGAGAUGGAUACUAUUAUGAGAAAGCUCAGACAGAACUGUUCAAAGCCACAAAACAAGGAAGUGAGAUAGCCAGGAACCAAACCCAUGAGGACUCCAGAUCCCCACACUCUUUCACUGUAUAUGUGCUUUAAUUUCAUUCGACUUGUUUGGACAGGUAGAGCUAACACGAAACUCUCCCCCCUUUCUUCUUGUGGGGAGAGAGAAUUAGUUGCUUCCUCUUCAAGUUUCCACAGCAACUUGUUUGCAAAUAUCAUGUAGGAAUUACUUCACCCUGCCAUAUAGUGCUGUCAUGUGUGCAUACCUCUCAUAUCCUCAGAUAUACUGUGAGCUGUUUGGCCAAGGGACCACACUGGAUCCUUCACAGCACAUAGCAGAGCCAUAGUAAACAAGGUCAUGUAAUGAAUGAAUUAAUGAAUGAAUGGAAGAAUAAAUGCAUGUGUGGAAAACAAAAGAACAAAGGUCCUAGGUUGGGUAUGAUUCCUUUAAACUGUAAUUUGACAUUCUCCUAGUGGUCUGGUGUACAAACUAUACAGACAUAUGAGUGUUGGUCUAUAAUAUACAACAAAGAUUUCAAAAUGGAAGACAAGAGUUCCAUUUCCCAACAUUUGAAGAAGCACUUGAAAGUUAUGUUAUAUUAUACUUUAAUAUAUAUGGACUGGAUGAUAAAGACUCAAAGUUGUGUUUACAUAAUCCAACUUUCCAAACAACUGAGUGCAGUAAAAAACUGUCACCUUACAAAGUAGCACUUGAUAUCUUGGACAACUGGGGAAGGGUUUAUUGGACAGAUCAUUCUAAAGGUGACAAUAGUUAAUGAAGUUUACAGAAGAAACUUUAGCUCAUUUAAUCCCAAAAAUAAUGUGUAUGUGUAUACACACACAUGCGUGUGCGUGCACGCACACACACACAUGCACACACACAUGCACACCCUUCCCCACGGUUUAGGCAUUCUUCUUUCUCCAUUUUACUGACUCAACAACUGAGACUCAUAAGGAUGAUGUGACUUGCCCAAAAAUCACAUAAUCAAGCAGUGACACAGCCCAUACCCAAACCCAGGCUUUUAGACUCAAAUCCUUUAAUCUUUUCCCACUCUGCUCCUGAAACAUAAAAUGAACCCUAGAAUGUCAUACAUUUGAGCUAUCAGAAACUCUUUGCCAUGGGCAUAGAAUAAAUUGUCUCUUUUUCAGUGUUGUUGUUGUUGUUGUUGUUGUUUUUGAAAUGCUCUUCAGUGUAAGUCUACAGUCUUGAGGAUUGUGCAUGGCAGGGAGGGACUAGUGGCUCAUAAUCCCUAGAUGACUAAACAGCCCAGUCCAUCUGUGAUAAAUAUCCCUUCCAAGGGCCACAGGUGUUCACAACAGAGCAAGCACCAUUCUUUUCCGCCUCAGUGCAGAAACCAUCAUAGAAACAUUUCAUCCUCCACUCAAUGAAUCCAUCCUUCCUUUUUAAAUUUUCUUAUUAAUGUUUGACUGUAUCCUUAUGCAGAGGAGCAAGAAAUAGCUCUCUGACUGAUAAGCUGUGUAGUAAAAUGGACUGGCCGCCAUGCACCCAGUGGAGUCAUAGAUGUUAGUUACAGAUAUGAGAGAGGGCCUCGUUCCUAGUCGCCAAAGGCUAGAAGAGACAAAGGCAGAGCCCAACACCUCAGUGUCUGCUUUUCUCCCUCCCCUGAACAUGGUGCCCACACGGCAACAAUGGGCUCUUGAAGGAUAGGCCCCUGAACCCAUCCUCAAGUACAUCAUGUAUAUGAAAAGUGUGGAAAUGGAGGUAGAAACUAGAUUUCAUUUGGGGUAUCCCUAGAGGACAGGACUAGAGGCAAGGGUGAAAUUAAAAGUCAUCAGCUUUCUACUCAUCCACCUAACAGAGAUGGACAACAUAGAAAUGAAAUAGUGAGCUCACUGUCAUAGGAAGCAUUCAAGCAAAGGCUAGACCAUCCUUCCCUGAGAGUGGUAUAGAGAGUAUAUAUUUAGAGAGUGGAGUGUUUGGCUAGAUCACUGCUAAAAUACCCUUCCAGCAAUGGCAUUUUGUGUUCCUCCAAAUAUUCCACACUUGAAUGCCUCAGGAGAUGGGUUCAGACAAAGCUCAUCUGUUCCAUAAUACUUGGCCACAGUACAACGCCUGCUGCCUGGUCACAAAGCAUUUCAUAGACAGCUGUUACUGCCCCUAUUUCAGAAAUGCAGUGAAAAGGGAAUUCAGAGACAGGUGAGGGGCCCGCCACCACGUGAGCAGGUGGGAAGAGGCCCCCAGCUCCAGUGCUGCGCACUUACUGAACCUACACAAUUCUCAUCCUAACUCAGUGAUUUAUGACCAUGUGCAAUAGUCCCACCACCUCCGGGAACACCUUUGUUUCUCCCUCCUAGGUUACAAAAUCACAAAUCUCAGUGUUUUAAAUAGUCUUUGAAUUUACAGUGUUUACAGGUAAGUAAUGUUUCCCACCGACUCUAAUUGAGAACUAGAAAAUGCAUCAAGCCCCAAGGAACUGAGGGAAUUCUGUCUGGGCUUAGGGGUAAAUACGGGAAAAGUCACAGCCAAGUCUUCUGCCAGCGUGUCCCAGGAAAGCAUGGGGCCAGUGUUUACGAAGGGAAAAUGGUGAGUUCCGGGAGUGGGAAAUGUAAUACAGUUUGUGAAGGUUGCAAGCAUUUGGAGCUACAAGAAACAAUAAUGGCACAACUAGGAGUAAUCUUUCUCUUGAAAGGUCUUUGUAUUUCACAGAUAGGUAAGCAGCAGGACUUAGGAGAAAACCAGGAAUGGGGAAUCAGUAAACCGGGCCCACCACUGACUGCUGUGUGAUCUCGGGAGGACCCACAAUCUCCCUAAGUCUUGGGUUUCUUCACCAAGAAUGACGAUUUCCACCCAGGAUUGAUUGGAGGACCAGAAGUGGAAACCAAAGCAUGGUGAUGGGAAGGAACAUGGGUCCCGUUCUAUAGUGUCGGGACCAAGAAAUGAGGUCUCCCUAUAGUGGUUGCCCACGGCAUGGUACUUUCUCUCCUUCUGAGAACAACACCAUUACAUAACUGUCUGGGACAGAGUCUCAGACCACAGAGAUUUCUUUCUGCCCAGCUGCACCAGACACACAUACCUGGGACGGAAUCCGGAAGAUGGCCACUUCCACAUCAACUGGGGAGCCCCAACACCUACCUUUCUCCUCUCCACCUCCACUGCGUUACCCUCUCUGCUACCGGGCAAAGCAUGCAACCUCCGAUGCUGCCUUACAUCAGGGAAGUAAUCUCUGGCCUGUCUGGUUCUCUGCCCUUAGAGAACGUACCAGCCAUCAUCCAUCCUUUGUAAGAGUCCUCCAAGCAUUUCUCCCUUCUGCUUCUCCAUCAGGGCGGCCUUUUCUGUGAAGUUCUCUAAUCAUGGGCUUCCCCAACACCCACCCCUCACCAUCAUCUUUACCUCAGAAAGUGAAAUAAAGAAAUUCAAGUGACUCAUCUAUCCACACAGCCAGAAGGGAGAAGCAGAAAGUACAGAAACCAUCAUAGAAUGAUGAGUAUGUCUGCAGGUCUCUUGGCUGCUUCAUACGAUCGGCUGAGCUUCAUGAAAGGGAAGACAGAAAAAUCUGAGUGGUGCCAUAUUGUCUCCAAAAGCAGCCGGCAUGAAAAUGAAGUAUGACUUCCACCUUCCCAAGACGCAAAGUGUCUCCCUCCUCACGUGAUCAAAUGGGGCUCAGCAGCUGGCUGGGCAGCCUUGGGAGAGAGCCUACCGGAUCAACACCACUAAGCCUCAGCUGUCCUCCACCAGCCAGGGAUACCCCCUACUUCAGUGGUCCCCUCCCCAAGGCCUGGGACCCCAUUCCACGUCAGCCCUCUAGAAACAGAGCAGUGUCUACUGCAGACACUCAGCAGGGAGCCAACAGGGUGUGCCCUGCUUGGUAAGCACAACCCAUUGGCAGCACUGGGCUUGACAGACCCCAAAUUCUAUACUCUUCAGAUGACUAGAGGCCUGCGAGACUAGUGUGCACGAUGAGGGAGAAUCAGAGAGGCAGAGUCUGAGAGUCAGCCAGAGGGAGACUCCGUUCUCGUCCACUUUACAUAUCAGGCAUCUGCCUGAGAUUUCACCAGGAAGACACAAAAUAAACAAAACAAAAACAGGGUCCAUCACAAUUACAAACAAAAAGUUUGGGAAUAGCCUUGAAAACCCCCACUGGUCUAGCCCAGUGUUUCUCAAACUUGAGAGGAUCUCAGAUCUCCUAGAGGGCUGGAUAAAACACAAAUGGCUGGGUCCCUCCCCAGGGUUGCUGCUUCAGAAUUUUGGGGUGAGGCUGAUGUUCUGGAUUUCUUACAAAUUCUCAGUGACUCCAAUUUUGCUGUUCUGGGCAAUGAACUUUAAGAACUAUGAUAUAACCCAAUUUUCCCUUCAGAGACAAGAGAGGUGAUUCCUCCCAGGUGCCUUAGCCUGUUGGAGAUGAACCAGAGUCUCUGAUAGCCCCCAGGCUGCCUCUUCCAGGGCUCGUCCAUCACACCCCAUACCUGCUCUGGCACAACAGUCCCCUGGGCAGAGAAACCCACUUGGAUCUGGGCUCUCAAGCAGCUUCACCCUUGGGACAGUGAUCAGAGGGGAGCAUUCCUAACUCAGAGCCCAUGCUCGGCCCACCUAUGUUCCCAGUUUGGGAAGUGGCAUCAUGACCCCAGCACUUCAGGGUGCUGGGUUCCCCACACUGCACUUGUUUGAGGCUUUAGUCAUCAGGGAGCCUUCCAGGAUCACAUUCCUGUAUUCCGUCCCCCAACACAUCUUAAUUGAGAGCUCCUAGGUGUUGGCCACUAACUUCUGAGAUCCAUCCAGAAACUUCUGAGGGACAGGUUCUUCCUGGCCCUUAAGGACUUCACAGGGAGGAAAAGUAAGCCUAAUCAAGUUGUUACCUCAUGAAGAGCAAGGAGUGAGUAGCUCAGGGGAGUGAGGGAGAGGAGUGAGGAGGGUUUCAUCAGGCAGACAGGCAGGCAAAUGUUAGCAGACAAGGGGCAUGGGGUAGAGAAGACAUGUUCAGUGCAAGGAUAAAAUUAUAAUAAACAUUGAUUGAAUAUCUACAA